CCUACGGGUGGCAGCAGUGAGGGAUAUUGGUCAAUGGGCGCGAGCCUGAACCAGCGAAGUAGCGUGAAGGAUGACUGAUCUACGGGUUGUAAACUUCUUUUAUAAAGGAGUAAAGUGAGGCACGUGUGGCUUUUGGUAUGUACUUUAAGAAUAAGGAACGGCUAACGCCGUGCCAGCAGCCGCGGUAAUAAUGAGGAUCCGAGCGUUAUCCGGAUUUAGUGGGUUUAAAGGGAGCGUAGAUGGGGUGUUAAGUCAGUUGUGAAAGUUUGCGGCUCAACCGUUAAAUUGCACUUGAUACUGGCAGUCUUGAGUACAGUUGAGGUAGGCGGAAUUCGUGGUGUAGCGGUGAAAUGCUUAGAUAUCACGAAGAACUCCGAUGGCGAAGGCAGCUUACUAAACUGCCACUGACAUUGAGGCUCGAAAGUGUGGGUAUCAAACAGGAUUAGAUACCCGUGUAGUC
rnacentral:rRNA from 1 species